rfam:Candidatus Roizmanbacteria bacterium RIFCSPHIGHO2_12_FTLL_39_8 rifcsphigho2_12_scaffold_32036, whole genome shotgun sequence.
UGGGGGGUCGUCUAACGGUAGGACGAUGGACUUUGGCUCCAUCUAUCGGGGUCCGAAUCCCUGCCCCCCAG